rnacentral:sRNA from 1 species
UCCGUAGGUGAACCUGCGGAAGGAUCGUUCAUAAUAAGUGUUUUAUGGCACUUUUUAAAUCCAUAUCCACCUUGUGUGCAAUGUCAGUCGAUCUUCUUCAUGGAGAUCGACCAAACAUCAACCUUUAUUUAUUAACUCUUUGUCUGAAAAAUAUUAUGAAUAAACAAUUCAAAAUACAACUUUCAACAACGGAUCUCUUGGCUCUCGCAUCGAUGAAGAACGCAGCGAAAUGCGAUACGUAAUGUGAAUUGCAGAAUUCAGUGAAUCAUCGAAUCUUUGAACGCAUAUUGCGCUCUUUGGUAUUCCGAAGAGCAUGCUUGUUUGAGUAUCAGUAAACACCUCAAAGCUUUUGGAUUUUUUAAUCGAAAAGCUUUGGACUUGAGCAAUCCCAACACCAAUCUUUUUGAGAUCGGUGGCGGGUUGCUUGAAAUGCAGGUGCAGCUGGACAUUCUCCUGAGCUAAAAGCAUAUUCAUUUAGUCCCGUCAAACGGAUUAUUACUUUUGCUGCAGCUAACAUAAAGGGAGUUUGACCGUAUUGGCUGACUGAUGCAGGAUUUCACAAGGGUCGGCAACGAUUCUUGUUAAACUCGAUCUCAAAUCAAGUAAGACUACCCGCUGAACUUAAGCAUAUCAAUAAGCGGAGGAAAAGAAACUAACAAGGAUUCCCCUAGUAACGGCGAGUGAAGCGGGAUGAGCUCAAAUUUAAAAUCUGGCUGGUUUACUAGUCCGAAUUGUAGUUUAUAGAAGCGUUUUCGGUGGCAGCCUGGGUAUAAAUCCUUUGGAAUAGGGUAUCAUAGAGGGUGAGAAUCCCGUCUUUGACUCAGUGCAUGCUACUAUGUGAUACGUUUUCAAAGAGUCGAGUUGUUUGGGAACGCAGCUCAAAAUGGGUGGUAAAUUUCAUCUAAAGCUAAAUAUUGGCGAGAGACCGAUAGCGAACAAGUACCGUGAGGGAAAGAUGAAAAGAACUUUGAAAAGAGAGUUAAACAGUGCGUGAAAUUGUUGAAAGGGAAACGCUUGAAGU